rnacentral:rRNA from 1 species
AACGAACGCUGGCGGCAUGCCUAACACAUGCAAGUCGAACGAGACCUUCGGGUCUAGUGGCGCACGGGUGCGUAACGCGUGGGAACCUGCCCUUAGGUUCGGAAUAACUCCCCGAAAGGGGUGCUAAUACCGGAUAAUGUCUCCGGACCAAAGAUUUAUCGCCUUUGGAUGGGCCCGCGUUGGAUUAGCUAGUUGGUAGGGUAAAAGCCUACCAAGGCGACGAUCCAUAGCUGGUCUGAGAGGAUGAUCAGCCACACUGGGACUGAGACACGGCCCAGACUCCUACGGGAGGCAGCAGUGGGGAAUAUUGGACAAUGGGCGAAAGCCUGAUCCAGCAAUGCCGCGUGAGUGAUGAAGGCCUUAGGGUUGUAAAGCUCUUUUACCCGAGAUGAUAAUGACAGUACCGGGAGAAUAAGCUCCGGCUAACUCCGUG